AACAUCCUCUUUUCCACUUCAUACGACCUUUCUCAUAUACCCAUUCAAAUCUCAUCCCAUUCUUCUAAUCAAGAUCACGCAUAGCAAUUAAUAUUUACGAUUUCCAAUUCAACAUUCAUGGAUCAGCCGUCUUCUUCAUCAAUUUUACUUCAAAUUUAAAUUUUUCUCAUGAUUUGUAUCUGUUUCCCAGGGACAAUUUGAUUUCUGAAUGACAAUGAUCUUUAAUGCAGAUUACAUGAUAUAGGCAAAGGGAAUGCUUUUCACGGUUUAUAGGAAGAUGUAGAUUCUUCAAAUAAAUGUAUUGGAACCAACCAUCCUCAUGUUAAGAGGCGAAAGAAAUUGCCAGUCCCUGUGGAGAAAGAGAAAGGUGUUGGUCUUUGGUCAAUGAUCAAGGAUAAUAUAGGGAAAUAUCUAACAAAGGUUUGCUUGCCUGUUUACUUUAAUGAGCCUCUCUCCUCCCUGCAAUUUUUUUUUGAAGAAAUGGAGUAUUCAUAUCUGCUGGACCAAGCAUAUGAAUGGGGAAAAAGGGUGAUAGCCUCAUGAGAAUUCUCUAUGUCGCUGCUUUUGCUGUAUCUGCCUAUGCUUCAACAGAAGGAAGAAUUUGCAGACCCUUUAAUACAUUACUUGGGGAAACAUAUGAAGCUAACUAUCUAGAUAAAGGCCUUUGUUUUUUCUCGGAGAAGGUGUAUAAUCUAAUCCUGCAUAAUGAUAUUACUUAAAUGUGAACUCAUCAUUCUUCUUGCUUCAUUUAUGUUUUGAACAAGCAAGCAUGUCCCAAUUGACUAUUUAAGUUUGAUAUAGUUAUGAAUCCAAAUUUUUAUUUAAGUUCAAGAGCUUAGUUUUAAUUCAUGUUCAAAUUGAAUGAUUGCAUUUAAAAUUACUUUUGUUUAUAGCGUUUUGUUAUUGAUUAAGUUAUGUAAAGGUUCAAAUCCUUCUUUAAGCUCAAACUUAUGUGAAGAUUAAGUUAAAAUUAAUUAUGUCAAAUACUACUUAACUCUACAGUUAAAUAAAUUAGUUACAAUUUGGGCCCAAUUUUAUAAUAACCAGAGCUUAGGAAUGUGAGCUGCAUGUUGCAUGUGAAAAAAAAGCCAUUGAAUCUUCUUUUAAAAAAUAUAUAUGAUAGAAACAAGAAUCUUCAAUAUGGCAGGAAACAAAUUUUGUGGCGUAUUUAGUUGAUAUUUGAUAGAGAUCGAGGUGAAAAGAUUCAUCGGGAUAAUGGUGCAGUUAUGCUAUCGCAUUAUACAAGUUUAUGAUACAUAUGACACAACUACAAAAAAAUGACCACAUGAAUUCUUGGAACUUAUGUUGUUAACAUGCCUUGCUUGGACAAUGCAGUAUUCUUACAAUUCAGCGGAGCACUGGUUCGUAUUUAAAGUGAAUUAGGUUUGCUUUGGCUUAGGUAGCGGUGAAGCUGAAUUUUACGUUGUAAGCUCAGGAUGCCGAGAUUUAGGCUAAGGUUGGAGCAAGGGUCGGUGUUGAAGCCAACUCUAAAUAGCUAAUUCUCAAUAUGAGAUGUUUGAUAUUGGGUGUGGAUCAUAUGCUCACUAGUUAGAAGUAAGAGAUCUUCAUUGCAAAUUAUAGUCGAGACUCAUGCCAGCAAGAGAUCAUUCGGCCUAAAGUAGUGCAGAAGUUAAGGUGUAGCUUUGUCGAGAAGGAGUGGCGGUCUCUACAGGCCGUUGUUUAAUUAUUGCAGAAGUAGAAUUUGUGAACCUAUUGACAGGUUGAUGCAGAAACAGGUCAAUGUUUCAUGUUGGAAUUUCUCGGUGUAGUGGUGCAUUGGAAUCCUUUAUUUAUCGAGUCACUCAUAUUUUUAGGUUGAAUGGCCUGUAUCAAUAUAGUGUAUUCAUAAUUUAUGGUAUCGGAUUUGGUAGUGGUCGAGAUGGAAAAUGGCUUAUCGUUUCAGGGAUUGUUAAGAUUAGCUAGUUUUAAUCAUUGGAUUAAAUUAGUUAAUACACAUAGCUGAUAAGGCUUUGGUUAGUUAGUUGGUCAUUGGUUAGUUGGUUAGAUAACUUCCAAUCUGAUUGGUUGUUAUAUGAUAGGAAUAUACUAUAUAUGGAUUAUAUCACCACUUGUACCAAUCAAUAAACAUAUAUUCCAUUAUUCUGGAAUCUCUUUUCCCCUUUCUAUUCUGUUUUCUCUCUUUUCCAAUGGUGAAACUUCUUCACCUUAAUAUGGUAUCAUUCGCCAAUUCGAUCCUUAUUCCGCUGCCAUCUAACUGAUUUCUUCUUCUUCUUUCCUUUUCUUCGUCUGCUCUUUACUCUGCAUCCAUGGCACCUCCUCGCACUCCACCACUCGAUCCAGUCUUGGAUCAUUCUUCUCCUUACUUCGUUCACCCCAGCGAUGGUCCCGGUUCUGUUACAGUUGUUCCGAAACUCACUGGUUCCAAUUAUCAUUCAUGGGCUCGAAGCAUGAAGAGGGCUCUUGGGGGUAAAAUGAAGAUUGAGUUCAUCGAUGGAUCUCUUCCCGUUCCUACUGAUUCGUUUGAUCCUUCUUUGCGUGCUUGGAAUCGUUGCAAUAUGUUGGUACAUUCUUGGAUCAUGAACUCGGUUUCAGAUUCAAUAUCUCAGUUUAUAGUUUUCAUGGAAAAUGCGCUUGAUGUAUGGAAUGAUUUGAAAGAAAGAUUUUCUCAGGGCGAUCUCAUUCGUAU